AGUUGAUAAAGCCACAACCGUCGUGAGGCGGUGUCGGAAAGCCACGGGUCUCUAUGAAGAGACAGCCGGGCUGCCUGC
rnacentral:ncRNA from 1 species